rnacentral:lncRNA from 1 species
AGGAUGUGCCCAGACAUCUAGAGUUUUCCUGGGAAAGAUCCCCAGCUGAUUCUAUCGCACACAGUGUUUGUGAAUCUCCGAGGCAACUGUCAACUGACCUGUAAUGAAAAGUACGCUCUACAUGGAAGUCCACUCGAGAAGAUCGUGGCAGUUUCACAGUAUGCUCUCAAUUUCUUUUACAUCAAUAUCUCCUGUUUCGGUUAUUCUUCUUGUCCUUAAACAUCACCGUUAAUCUCCAAAUAGCCUCAGAGGAAAAACCUGAAAAAUAUGACAUUGAAGAGCCGUCAUCUUUGAGACGUGUGGUCUCUGCUGUGCCUAUUCAAAGGCUAAGAGAGUGACAUGAAAUGAAGCCAGAAGAGUAGUCUGACCUCAUCUCGUUUGGUGAGAAUUUUAUCAUCUGCCUUCAACUUGGCCGUACCAUUUAAAUCUUCUUGAUGUUAUGUAAUUAAAUAUUCCACUCAUCUGGUUUAUGGUUGAGACUAUUAACUUAUCCUUCUGGAAUUCUCCCUUCCUCUGACAGUUCCUAAUAGAUGUGUUCUAACACCCUGAGUUAGGCUAGAGGGCUGCCUCGACUCUCUAGAUAAUGUUGCCAGAGGCUCUGUUCUAUCUGGUGUGAAAUGGUGUUAUUUUGUUCGACUCGGGUACACACUUCUCCUGAUAGGGACAAGACCUACCUUUAGAAUGAACGAUGUGUUUUUAACCAUGCUGCCAAGAUCACAUAUUCUUAGCUGCCAAGUCUGGACAUUUCAUUCUGACUCGUCAUUUUCAUGGACUCUUUUCAGCCUUGUCUGAAAUCUUGGGCUCAGCACCUCUCGAUUCGGCUGUCAUUUCCUUCGUUUGCUUAGUACACAUUUGGAAUUGGACAUUCCCUAGGGUUCUACAGAUCUGACAUCUCCUUCCUUCCUUCCUUCCUUCCUUCCUUCCUUCCUUCCUUCCUUCCUUUUUUUUUCUCCAAGAUUAAAGUUGUCCUGGGAUAAUAGUCAUGACUUGGAGAAAGCAAAAAUCUCUUGAAGUUAGCAGGAAUUCUGGAGGGAGCUUGAGCCUGCCUUGUCUGUAAGACAGAUUAACCAGGCAUCCUCCCUACCCUCUCACCCAAGGCUAUUUUCCAUUCCGGAAUUAUCAGAAAACCAGCCAAAACCUGUCCCCUUGCAUGUAGGUGGGGCCGGUAGGCACGAGGUGAUUCCAAUUACUUGGAAUUUUAAUUCUAACUUGGCUCCUGGCUGGAGGGCUUCAGCUUAUGGCACAUUUCAGACACCAGAGCCGCGGUCAAGCGGCUUCCCCUGGACUUCUCUUGACCUGCCGGAGAGAGAGGUCGUGGACGAUUACAGUCAAUACGGUCAAGGUUUGUUUUUUUUUUUUGGUUUUUUUUCAAGCAAGACAGAAUCGGGAACUAGAAUGGAGAUUGUGAAACAAGUGUGUGUUUUAUCCCAAAUGGGAAAUGCUUAUCAAAAUAGUCAACUCAUCAAGUGAGCACAGAGUGACUGGAAAUGACGUUUACAGUGAGAGGAAAUGGCCCAGCUGUGCUUUUUUUGGCUUUCUCUCAUCAGUUC